rnacentral:tRNA from 1 species
GAGAAUUAGCUCAGUUGGUAGAGCAUCUGACUUUUAAUCAGAGGGUCAGAGGUUCGAAUCCUCUAUGGCUCACCA